CGCACGGUGGCUUAGUGGUUAGCAUGUUCGCCUGUUUGCCUCACACCGCCAGGGUUGUGGGUUCGAUUCCCACCGCUGCUC